AGGGAAUCUUCGGCAAUGGGGGCAACCCUGACCGAGCAACGCCGCGUGAGUGAAGAAGGUUUUCGGAUCGUAAAGCUCUGUUGUAAGAGAAGAACGAGUGUGAGAGUGGAAAGUUCACACUGUGACGGUAACUUACCAGAAAGGGACGGCUAACUACGUGCCGGCAGCCGCGGUAAUACGUAGGUCCCGAGCGUUGUCCGGAUUUAUUGGGCGUAAAGCGAGCGCAGGCGGUUAGAUAAGUCUGAAGUUAAAGGCUGUGGCUUAACCAUAGUACGCUUUGGAAACUGUUUAACUUGAGUGCAAGAGGGGAGAGUGGAAUUCCAUGUGUAGCGGUGAAAUGCGUAGAUAUAUGGAGGAACACCGGUGGCGAAAGCGGCUCUCUGGCUUGUAACUGACGCUGAGGCUCGAAAGCGUGGGGAGCAAACAGGAUUAGAUACCCUGGUAGUCCACGCCGUAAACGAUGAGUGCUAGGUGUUAGACCCUUUCCGGGGUUUAGUGCCGCAGCUAACGCAUUAAGCACUCCGCCUGGGGAGUACGACCGCAAGGUUG
rnacentral:rRNA from 1 species